rnacentral:rRNA from 1 species
CGCAUCUGUGCAUGCAGCAUAUCAAUAAGCGGAGGAAAAGAAACUAACAAGGAUUCCCCUAGUAACGGCGAGUGAAGCGGGAAGAGCUCAAAUUUGAAAUCUUAAAGGGUUUCCCUUUACGAAUUGUAGUUUAAAGAAGUGUUUUCUGUUGAGGUUUUGGUAAAAGUUCUUUGGAAUAGGACAUCAUAGAGGGUGAGAAUCCCGUAUUUGACCUUUACUUUCAACUUUGUGAUACACUUUCCAAGAGUCGGAUUGUUUGGGAAUGCAGUCCAAAAUGGGUGGUAAAUUUCAUCUAAAGCUAAAUAUUGGCGAGAGACCGAUAGCGAACAAGUACCGUGAGGGAAAGAUGAAAAGAACUUUGAAAAGAGAGUUAAACAGUACGUGAAAUUGUCAAAAGGGAAGCGUUUGACACCAGUGUUGUUUUUCUGAAAAUCAAUUAAAGAACUGUUUAUGCUAAGCUGUUUAGACUUUAUCAGCUAACUGUUUAGUUUUGAGCUUUUCUUAAUGCACUUUUCAGUUAACAAGUCAACAUCAAUUUCUUUUGCUGUAAAAAAGCUUGAGGAAGGUGGCUUGAGAUUCGUCUUAAGUGUUUAUAGCCUCUUGCCUAUGCAGUCGGAGAGAUUGAGGUCUGCAGCGUAGAUCCUUCGGGGCUAAAUGCAUUUGUGCUAAGUUAUAACAUUUUAUAGACAACUUGUUGACUAUGAUUUGUCUUGUAGCUUACUCGCUUAUGUUAUUUUACCUACGCUUAGGAUGUUGAACGCGCACAGAGUCUC